ACAUUAGUCAAAUAUUUUAAAGCACUGUUUUCAUAUCAAUUUUAUGCAUUCAGAUUGAAAACUAGGCCGCUGUUUUCAAUAGGCCAAAUAUAUUUCCGAAACAGCAUGUCAUUUGCAUCUAAUGUUCAUAUCAAUUUGGAUGCAGCGAACGUCAGCUCUGAAACCUGAUGCUUUGGUCGCGUAAUACAAAUUAUAGGUGGACGAACUCACGGCCCACCUGGUAUUAAAGGUCAUCUACGACGUAAAUGCCACCCACCUCGAGGUAUGAAUUCUGUGGUUCAAUUUUUACAUUACAACGGCUUCACGGCAGAAAUAGACAGGGUGGUGCUACCUACCCGUGCGGACUCAAAAGACGCCCUACCACCGAUAAAACUCUUUAUUAUGUAAUAAUAUAAUGUAAUAUAUUAUUAUUAUAUUAGACCUACAUUCUUAUUCAUAUCUUUAUUCUUUAAUUGCUGGUCAUCGUCGUUGUCGGAAAUUGAAACAGUAUUUUUAUUCGUUCAUUUAUUGUGUAGAUUAUACGCCGCGAAACAACAACACCGAUGCCAGAUCAGACAGCCUAUAACAAAACUAUAAAAAGCUUGAAUAAAACAAAAUUUAAAUGUAUAUUAAAAACAACGUUCACAUCAACACGGGAUGCGUAGAUAUAAACUUGACACUUGAUAAUAAAUUCAACUUCCACCCGUGCACUGUUUUAACGUCUUCAUUAAAAAUGCCGGCGCAGCGUCAUUUCAGGAUCAACGCUGUUUCAGAAACAUAAAACAUAUUACGGUCUACGGCGAUAAGAAUUUACCAUCCAUUUUUAAUCCCGUCAACCUUAAAACACGAGCGCAAUCGUUCUUUUUACGAGUUCUUAUCAUGAGGUUCAUCGUGAUCGUUGUUAUUCAUAUUAAAUUCAAAUUUAUUUUAUUAUCUCAUUUUUUAAAAGCUGCUAUUCUGGUACUUUAAAAGGUUUUUAUGAGUAAUUUACAAUCUGCGAUCUCUGUCAUUCAGAAUAUUUUAUGCAUUCGUUCGUUAAAAUAAUUAAAAAAUAAGUCACGAGAA